CUUGGUAACAAAAUAGUCAUUUUAAAAAAAGUCACAGAACAGUGAUCAAAUUGAGGAUAUUCCUUUAAGGCAAGGAAAACAUCAUCACAAGAACAAUGGACUUGGAAUCCUAAGAUCUGGGUGCAAACCAUGUUUCUGCCACUUAUAGCUAGUUGUCCUUAUCAGAAUAGUAAUGAGCACUUCUGUUGCCCAGGAUACACAGUAAAUCAGUCAGCUAUAGGAGGAGAUAAGGAAGUUCAGAAAUUGAUACAUAAAAAUUUCUUGGAAGGAGAAAGAAGACUCGAUAUACUUUGACCUAUCAGGGAGGCUUCUACUGGGACUGCUGGGCUGAAUUUAGGAGGAACUUGCCUGAGAUGUGAUUGGAUCCAGAGCAUUAUUCUGAGGAAGUGCCUGUAAGCGUCAUGGGAUUGCCAAAGGAAUCAGGACAUAUAAUAAGAAGUUCAAAUCAACUAUCUUAAGAAGAUAUACAAAUCUUAGCGAUCACCAUUAUUAUCACUGCAAUAAUAGAAGUUGAAAGAAAAUAGAGAUCAGAGUAAGUUGGAGCAUUCAAGAAAUGUUUCUUUGAAAAGGCAUGUGGUGAAUGUAUCAUGAAUUCUGGAGGAGGACAAGAGGAGGGAGAGGCACGGGGAAGAAAGAAUUGGCUCAUGGGAGCCAGUCAAUGUUAAAGCAAGGAGAUCAGCAGGGGACAAAAGUCAGACAAGACAGAUCAGCCAAGCUGUUCCUGCUGUUGGGAUGGCAAGUGCCGCAGAGCUGCCAAUUUGAAGAGCUUCAAUAUUUCUUGGUUGUGAAGGGAAACCUCGUGGCAUGCUCUCAAUCUGAAGGAACCACUUACAUGUAAUUUGGUUGCAUCAGGGAGAUUCUUUACCUUUUUUAUGAGCAAUAUUGUUAGAUGGCUAGAGCAUAAUCAUGCCUAAUACAGUGUUCACAAACCUUGUAAACAAGCCUUUAAGAACCUCCCAGUCUUUUCCACUUAGAUCUGAAUGAAUAAGAAACAAAUGCAAUUGUGAUGUCUAGGGAUGUCACCAGUGUGCAGAUAAGAUGACCUGCCCAUUUGCAAAUUUAUCCUUCUCAGUUGAGAGUCAGACAUUGGACCAAGCAAAGUCAGCUUAAAAAUCUUUUAAGAGGUACUGACAAUAAAAUAUUGACAAUCAAGAUAUUUCUGAUUUUACAAA